rnacentral:rRNA from 1 species
CAAGUCGACGAGAACCGGAGCAAGGAUAAGUACAGUGGCGCAUCGGUGAGUAACAAAAAACUAACCUACCCUUGAGUGGGGGAUAACUGAGGGAAACCUUACCUAAUACCGCAUAAUACCUACGGGUCAAAGGAGCAAUUCGCUUAAGGAGGGGGUCGCGGCCGAUUAGUUAGUUGGCGGGGUAAUGGCCCACCAAGACGAUGAUCGGUAUCCGGCCUGAGAGGGCGCACGGACACACUGGAACUGAAACACGGUCCAGACUCCUACGGGAGGCAGCAGUGGG